UAAGUGGGACCUGGCCGAGGUGGGGUGCGGGGAGGGACCUCUGGACUGAACUCCUCAUCUGCCCCAGCCCCGAGUGCGAGAUUGAGCGUCCUGAGCGCCUGACCGCAGCCCUGGACCGCCUGCGGCAGCGCGGCCUGGAACAGAGGUGUCUGCUGUUGUCAGCCCGCGAGGCCUCGGAAGAGGAGCUGGGCCUGGUGCACAGCCCAGAGUAUGUAUCCCUGGUCAGGGAGACCCAGGUCCUAGGCAAGGAGGAGCUGCAGGCGCUGUCCGGACAGUUCGACGCCAUCUGCUUCCACCCGGUGCGUGUCCCCGGACACACUCACCUGUGCACACACAUGCACGUGCCUCUGCGCGUUCACAGCCAUGGCCGCCAACCCCAGCCGGUGUCCCCUGGUCCAUACACGUGACAUUGCCCUGCACACCUGCUUGCUGGCACUGCCAGAGCCUGGGGCUGGCCUGUUCUGCUC
rnacentral:sRNA from 1 species